rnacentral:lncRNA from 1 species
UUUUUUUUUUCUUUUUUUCUUUUUCUUUUUUUCGGAGCUGGGGACCGAACCCAGGGCCUUGCGCUUGCUAGGCAAGUGCUCUACGCUGAGCUAAAUCCCCAACCCCUGGCCUGGAUCUCUUGAUCUGCCUGUCUCACCUCUACGAUGCCAGUAUUACAGACACCUGGUACUUUAUAUCUAAUAUCAAAUCCCCAGUGUCUCUAACUAUAUAACCUAUAACGUGCCCAAUAAAUUUUGUGAAUUAAUACAGGUAACUGUAAUGUCAGCUGGAAGUGAUGUAUUAAGUCUUGUAAGGCGCACUAUCACGGAGGCAGGCACAGUUCCCUGUUUCACAGAUGAACUGAGGCUCAAAGAGUUUGCAGUUUGCAGGGGCCUUUUAAGGCUGACCUAUCCUCCCUUUGCCUGCAGGUUGCCAGCCAGAUGCCAGUGCCGUCGGCCGACCCGGCGCGCCCCCACGCGUGCCCAGACUGCGGCCGCGCCUUCGCGCGCCGCUCCACACUAGCCAAACAUGCGCGCACGCACACGGGCGAGCGCCCCUUUGCGUGCACGGAGUGCGGCCGGUGCUUCUCGCAGAAGUCGGCACUGACCAAGCACGGUCGCACCCAUACAGGCGAGCGACCUUACCAGUGCCCGGAAUGCGACAAGCGCUUCUCCGCCGCCUCGAACCUGCGGCAGCACCGGCGGCGUCACACGGGAGAGAAGCCGUACGCAUGCGCACACUGCGGGCGGCGCUUCGCGCAGAGCUCCAAUUACGCGCAGCAUCUGCGCGUGCACACGGGCGAGAAGCCUUACGCGUGCCCGGACUGCGGACGAGCCUUCGGCGGAAGUUCGUGCCUGGCGCGCCACCGACGCACGCACACGGGCGAGCGCCCGUACGCAUGCGCCGACUGCGGCACGCGCUUCGCUCAGAGCUCGGCGCUGGCCAAGCACCGGCGCGUGCACACGGGCGAGAAGCCGCACCGCUGCGCCGUGUGCGGCCGGCGCUUCGGCCACCGUUCCAACCUGGCGGAGCAUGCGCGCACGCAUACGGGCGAGCGGCCCUACCCGUGCACGGAGUGCGGCCGGCGCUUCCGCCUCAGCUCACACUUCAUCCGCCACCGUCGCGCGCACAUGCGGCGCCGUCUCUACAUCUGCGCGGGCUGCGGCCGAGACUUCAAGCUACCCGCCAGUGCCACAGCCGCCACGCCCACCGAGCGCUGCCCGGAGUGCGAGGGCAGCUGAGCCACGGCGGGGAAGCGAGGGGCACUUGGGACUUGCACCUGAAUUGUUCCUUCCAUGCCUGCACCUGGGUCGGGGUGCUCUGGGACUGGGCGAUAGGGAAUGUCCCACCGGGGAUCCCUAGAACCAUGCCUCGUUCCCAGCUACAUUUCCUUGGCCCUUCUGAGUGAAUAAAGUAUUCUAUCCUCACUUC